GUCUAUGGCCAUACCACCCUGAACAUGCCAGAUCUCAUCUGAUUUUGGAAGCUAAGCAGGGUUGGGCCUGGUUAGUACUUGGAUGGGAGAGAUGUUUUAGGUGCUAUGUAUU
rnacentral:rRNA from 1 species